GACGAACGCUGGCGGCGUGCCUAAUACAUGCAAGUCGAGCGAGCGGAACCAACAGAUUUACUUCGGUAAUGACGUUGGGAAAGCGAGCGGCGGAUGGGUGAGUAACACGUGGGGAACCUGCCCCUAAGUCUGGGAUACCAUUUGGAAACAGGUGCUAAUACCGGAUAAGAAAGCAGAUCGCAUGAUCAGCUUUUAAAAGGCGGCGUAAGCUGUCGCUAAGGGAUGGCCCCGCGGUGCAUUAGCUAGUUGGUAAGGUAACGGCUUACCAAGGCAACGAUGCAUAGCCGGGUUGAGAGACUGAUCGGCCACAUUGGGACUGAGACACGGCCCAAACUCCUACGGGAGGCAGCAGUAGGGAAUCUUCCACAAUGGACGCAAGUCUGAUGGAGCAACGCCGCGUGAGUGAAGAAGGUUUUCGGAUCGUAAAGCUCUGUUGUUGGUGAAGAAGGAUAGAGGUAGUAACUGGCCUUUAUUUGACGGUAAUCAACCAGAAAGUCACGGCUAACUACGUG
rnacentral:rRNA from 1 species